AAUUCUCUUCAAUCUUGGCAUAUUCUUCAACCUUUUCCACCCUCUUCUUGUAUCAUCAUCAUUCAAUCAUCAAUUCUGCAUUCAUUAUUACCUUCAUCUCUACACUCUUUAAUCCUCCACUGCAAAUCUUCAGCGCAUCUCCAUGUAGCUUCAACAAUCAUAAUUUUCAUCACAGGACGAAUCUUCAUCGUCAUCAGAAACCUGAAGUAACUUCUCUCUUCAACCUUAUAACCUG